rnacentral:lncRNA from 1 species
GGACGCUCAGGCUUAGGUCAAAGCCAGGAGCUCCGGGAAACCUGGGUUCAGCCGCCACGCCCCACGGAGGGGACACACCCUUCCCUGCCUGAUGGCAGGGCCCAUGGUAGACAAAACCCAUGACCUCACCUCUCCUGGCUCCAGGGCUCAGCCCUGCCCACUUCUGGAGAAUUCCAUGACUCAGGUAACAGAGGAGGGGCCUAGCCAGUCUCAGAGCCAAGGUCACACCGCCCUACACCUUGCUGUCCCCACAGCAUCUGCAGGAGGAGCAUGCCAGGACCAGAGACCCAGGGAGCAGCCUCACCAGAGGGAAAAGAGCCUGUAGAGUGGUGAGCUCAGGCUCUGGAGUGAAUGGUGAUGGAGCCUUGGCUUGGUGUGCUGGACACUUGCUUGGUGCCCUGAGCCACCACGUCCAAGUCCAGCUACUGUGAGGUCCCAUGCUGGGAGGAAUCCCAGGCCCUAGGCCAGGUUCCAGCUGACAGCCCCGGCUGAAGUCCCAGACCACAGCCAGCGUCGCCCCCCAAGACCUGAGGGAAGACAUUCACGUCCAGGUCAUUUUGGCUCCAGCUUUGGAGACCUGCCAGUGAGCCCUAGACAUCAUGGACGGGGCAAGCUGCCCCUUCUGCGCCCUGUCCG